rnacentral:lncRNA from 1 species
GCGAAAGCAACUUAUGUUUCCAUCUUCACUCCAAAGCAUUAUGUCGUCGGCCGCCCGACACAACACAAGGAGCAGAGAACAAACGUCAAUUCGACUUAGUCCCUAAUCACAUUAGAGACAUCCUAACUUAACCCAAUCACAUGCUUUCGCUAACUUUAAUCCAACGUCGCUCACGUUUCCUAAAUCCUUAAGGUUUUCCAAUCCUAAGGGUCUCUAGGUCCACUCAUAUUUUUUCACUUUAGGCUCUGAAACCACCAUAGCUGUCACACCCCCGGACCGAUCCCUUUGGCCGGCCCGGGCACGUCGAACAGACGCCGAACGGACAGAGUCUCCCCUGUCCGCCAAAGGCUCAACACACGUAGAAUUCAAAUAAAGAGAAUACACAAGUGAAAACAUACAUAAUGGCUUACACGAGGGUAAGUAGUAGCCAGAGUGAAAGAAUAUUAGACUAAACAACUCACAAGUAGAAUGAUUAACUUUUAACCAUUUACAAGCAUUCAACUAUCACAUUCGCCUUUACAUUGCUUUUCAUCAUUUCUUUUUACAUCACAUUUCCUCAAAAAAAUGAUUACAUUCUUUUCUUUUACAUCUCUAAUCAUCAAAUACAAAAGAUGAUAUAAGGGAAUGCAUCUACUGGCAAUAUAUGAAGACCUGACUCGGGUGGUCACUGUCUACGGCGCGAUACCUUUACCGCGGUCGCUCGCAGGCUCACUCGGUCCCGGCUCUGUGGAAAUAGUGGGGUGAGAACUACAACGAAGUUUCCAGUGGGUUCGGCCCCAAUCUCACCGACUUUCCCACUAGGUCUAAUUCAGGCAUAAUAGAAAGAAAUAAGCAGAUAAGUAACCAACUGUACGAAUGCAAAUAAUAUACCUGAACAAAGCUAUCAAUAAGGAUGCUCAAUAUAAAACUCAUGAAGAAUGCAAGUUCUUUGAUCUCUUGUUCAAUCUCAUGGCUAACCCGUGGGUUUCGCCGCAUUAACUCACCAACUCAAAAUCCCAAUUCGUCAGGGAGACUCCUACGACCCGACGUGGACCGUCCUCUGGGGAACAGCAACAACCCAGUGAUGACAAACUCCAGAGCACAUCGCUCGAGGGGGAGCUACCGCCCUCGAGCAAGGACUUAUAGCGAGUAUGAUCCAAUCCUUAACUCUAAGGAUAUCAAGUUCAAUCCGUU